AUUGAACGCUGGCGGCAGGCCUAACACAUGCAAGUCGAAUGGUAACAGGAAACAGCUUGCUGUUUCGCUGACGAGUGGCGGACGGGUGAGUAAUGUUUGGGAAACUGCCUGAUGGAGGGGGAUAACUACUGGAAACGGUAGCUAAUACCGCAUAACGUCGCAAGACCAAAGAGGGGGACCUUCGGGCCUCUUGCCAUCAGAUGUGCCCAGAUGGGAUUAGCUAGUAGGUGGGGUAACGGCUCACCUAGGCGACGAUCCCUAGCUGGUCUGAGAGGAUGACCAGCCACACUGGAACUGAGACACGGUCCAGACUCCUACGGGAGGCAGCAGUGGGGAAUAUUGCACAAUGGGCGCAAGCCUGAUGCAGCCAUGCCGCGUGUAUGAAGAAGGCCUUCGGGUUGUAAAGUACUUUCAGCGGGGAGGAAGGGAGUAAAGUUAAUACCUUUGCUCAUUGACGUUACCCGCAGAAGAAGCACCGGCUAACUCCGUG
rnacentral:rRNA from 1 species